CUCAAAGGAAUUGACGGGGACCCGCACAAGCGGUGGAUUAUGUGGAUUAAUUCGAUGCAACGCGAAAAACCUUACCUACCCUUGACAUGUCCUGAAUCCUGGAGAGAUCCGGGGGUGCCCGAAAGGGAACGGGAACACAGGUGCUGCAUGGCUGUCGUCAGCUCGUGUCGUGAGAUGUUGGGUUAAGUCCCGCAACGAGCGCAACCCUUGUCAUUAGUUGCUACCGCAAGGAGCACUCUAAUGAGACUGCCGGUGACAAACCGGAGGAAGGUGGGGAUGACGUCAAGUCCUCAUGGCCCUUAUGGGUAGGGCUUCACACGUAAUACAAUGGUCGGUACAGAGGAUUGCCAAGCCGCGAGGCGGAGCCAAUCCCAGAAAGCCGAUCGUAGUCCGGAUCGCAGUCUGCAACUCGACUGCGUGAAGUCGGAAUCGCUAGUAAUCGCGGAUCAGCAUGUCGCGGUGAAUACGUUCCCGGGUCUUGUGCACACCGCCCGUCACAC
rnacentral:rRNA from 1 species